UGACCCCUCCGGAAGCCUUGUACGUUGCCCGGUCCACCUUGGCGUGGGCGACACUCGUCUGUUGCUGGAAAUAAUCCUCCCUUGGGAGUCAAUCAGCUGCUGUAUAUCAACCCAUAUACAGCCCACAGAUCAAACACGAGUGGCUAUCCCCUUCCCUAUCUAGGACGGUGGGUUUUAGUUAAGAUAUGACCGUAGCUGCCCUGUAAGGGGCCGGAGAUACUAGUUCCGUAGGUGAACCUGCGGAAGGAUCA
rnacentral:rRNA from 1 species